GAUGAACGCUGGCGGCGUGCUUAACACAUGCAAGUCGAACGAAGCAGAUGAGAAAGCUUGCUUUUUUAUUUCGCUUAGUGGCGGACGGGUGAGUAACGCGUGAGUAACCUGCCCUUCAGUGGGGAAUAACAUCGAGAAAUCGGUGCUAAUACCGCAUAACGUAUUUAUGUCGCAUGACAUUUAUACCAAAGGAUUUAUUCGCUGAAGGAUGGACUCGCGUCCGAUUAGAUAGUUGGUGAGAUAAUGGCCCACCAAGUCAACGAUCGGUAGCCGAACUGAGAGGUUGAUCGGCCACAUUGGGACUGAGACACGGCCCAGACUCCUACGGGAGGCAGCAGUGGGGAAUAUUGGGCAAUGGGCGGAAGCCUGAUCCAGCAACGCCGCGUGAGGGAUGACGGCCUCGGGUUGUAACCGUACUUUCGUCCGACGGACGAACGACGCAACGUGACGGUACUCGGUAAAGAAGACGACCGGACCAACCUACGUAGCCAGCAGCCGCGGU
rnacentral:rRNA from 1 species